rfam:Felis catus isolate Cinnamon breed Abyssinian chromosome A1, whole genome shotgun sequence.
ACCUGGGUGGCUCAGUCAGUUAAGCAUCUGAUUUUGGCUCAGGUCAUGACCUUGCGAUCCGUGAGUUCAAGUCCCACGUCGGGUU